rnacentral:rRNA from 1 species
GAUGAACGUUGGCGGUGUGCCUAAUACAUGCAAGUCGAACGGAGUUAAUAGCAAUAUUGACUUAGUGGCGAACGGGUGAGUAACGCGUUGGUGAUCUGCCUUGAAGUGUGGAAUAACGCUCCGAAAGGAGCGCUAAUACCGCAUGUGCUCUCAAUUUUUAGAAAGUUGAGAGGAAAGGAUUUAUUCGCUUCGAGAGGAGCCUGCGUCCCAUCAGCUGGUUGGUAGGGUAAAGGCCUACCAAGGCAAUGACGGGUAGGGGACCUGAGAGGGUCGGCCCCCCACAAUGGAACUGAAACACGGUCCAUACACCUACGGGUGGCAGCAGUAGGGAAUAUUAGAAAUGGACGAAAGUCUGAUCUAGCAACACCGCGUGUGCGAAGAAGGCCUUCGGGUCGUAAAGCACUUUUUGGAAGGAAUAGGAAGGAAUGUACUUCCAGAAUAAGUCUCGGCUAACUACGUGCGAGCAGCCGCGGUAAAAGUGUGUGUA